rnacentral:snoRNA from 12 species
GCAGACUCACUCUGCACCCGGCUGCAGUCCCAGACGGGUGCUUUUUCAGUCUGCCACAGAAACAUUCCAGGGACUGCGACUACCUUGACCUGUGCAGGGUGACGCAGCUGCCCGGGGACAUGGUG